UAACAUGAAGUCCUAUGAGUGUCAUCUGAUGAUCAUCAAAGGUUAGUGAUUCAUUUUAGCUAUAUUUCUGCUUUUUGUGACUCCUCUCUUUGGCUGUAAAAAUGGCUGUGUUUUUAUCUGACUUGGAAUGUCUGGUAGAGGCAGAGUAUGAUAAGGAGAUUAAUAGAAUUCUGGCGUUUGAUUGCAAAUGCAUAGGGAGUCGAAAAGAGAACACAGAAGGUUGUUGUAUAAAAAACCUGUCUCUGGAAUACAUCUUCAAACUAAGGGCAUCCGUGACAGAGAGGGAGAAAGAGAGGGAGAAAGAUCUGAUGAAUCUUAUGGCAUUGCAAACGGUCAGUGUGAACCAGAGUGACCAAACAAGCUGUAUAAACAAAAUGGAAACGACACAGGAUGUCUUAUUUAAUGAAAGGGGUUGCAGUCUGCCCUGAAGCUUUCAUCCAUGUAUAUGGGUAAGAAUCUAGCUACAGUUUCAGAUAUUAUACGUUUCUAAUUUUGUCAGAAAGUUGUUUUCAUUGCAAGUUAAGGCUUGCUGUUAGCUAGCUAGCUGACAUUGGAUGGCUUGCUAGCCAUCAUUACGUGUAUGAACUGUGUAGUGAUGUUAUCUCAGAAUGCCAUUUUGCAUUGCUAGUUAUAGGAUAAUGUUAGCUAGCUAACUAGCUAACAUUGAACCUGUUUGGUUUAGCGAGCUAUGACAAUUGGUUUGUAUUGCUAGUAAUCUAUGGAUUGGGAUUAUGGUUCAUUGUUUAGCUAGCUAGCUACAUGUCUAAACAAAAUACCUUGAGUUAAAGCUUGCAGUUAGCUAGCUAGCUGACGACCCAUCAAGUUAGCCAGGUGUGUCUGACAGUGAUUACGACCAUCUAUUUUAUUAUAAUGCAAAAAUAUUUGUAUCUGGAAUUUGUCUUUCAGCAUCAGUAGAACACGCCUGACUCUCCUCCACCAGUCAUACAAGGAGAAUGGUCUAAUGUCUCCCAUCAAAAAGAGAGCUGGCCCAAGCAAGCACGUUACACCUGAAGCAUGAGGACUUGCAACGACAACUACGCAGAGGAUAAUACAAUAGUAUUACCAGGACGCCACCCAGGACACAAACACUUUGGUGGAAAGCUCCUGCCAUCCCAUGUGACAAAAGCAGCAGUGUGGCGUCUCUACAAGGAAUCAAUGACAACACUUGGAAUCUGUGGAGAUUCCUGAAGCACUAAGCCCAGGACAGACCUGUGUUGCCAAUGCCAGAGGAACAACUAAGGUCUUCAGAUUUGCAAAUCUGUCAGAAGCUGUUAAGUCAGCCAAGCUGAAAAAGCACAAGCUCCCCUACAGUCUGGACCUUCACUUCCUGAUCACAGGCCACACCAAGUUUGCCCCUGACUGGAGAUUCGGCCUCAUAAAGCAGAGCUUCAGAAAGACCAUAGUGAACACUUUGUCUGAGAUUGCUGGUGUUGUGAAGGACAGCACUGUGACAGGGCUCAACAUCCCACAGCUGGUUGGACUGGAGGAUGGUACGGUGCUGGUGGAAAGCUAUGGCUGGCAACACCAGACUCCGUACUUCAGGGCACUGCCACAGAUCAAGCAGUACCAGGACUUCAGGCGGAUAACAUUUUCAUUGCAAUCUUCAAUGCUCUGGAGCCUGGUGUUGUUAUCGCCAUGGAGCGUUCGGACUGUCGGGACCAGGCUUCAGCUGCUGCUCAAUGCUGACAUCCUUCCUCCCAUAGAUGAUCUGCCUGUACAAGAAACACCUGGACUGGACACAGCUAGAGAAACUUAUCUUUUUGAGAAGAUCAGGGAGUUUUGCGAUGAAGAGGCUGUGGACAUCACAUGCCCUGCACCAAAGUCAAGGGCAGGACAGAAACAGGCUCUCUGAAUAUAGAUUCCCUUGUUCAUGCAUGGUUCGGACGAACCAGUCAUCAGCACUAUCUGCAGUGCCUCUAUUCACAUGACUCUACGUUGUUGCUACUAUUUUAUUUAUCCCGCUUCUCAGCCACUUUACCUCUGAUGUGUGCAUUUAACUACCUCGUCUAUCACUGAUAUCAUUAUUGAUAUUGUUCUUGUACAUACUGUAUAUUAUUUUAUAUAUAUUGACACUAUAUGUUUCUGAUAUUGCUACUAUGCAAGUAACCAUUUCUCUGUACUGUUUACACCUUCUGUGACCCAUCCACUUGGCAAUAUGUGGCUGGGGUUAUAGCUGUCACGCCCUGGUCUUAGUAUUUUCUUUAUUAUUUUGAUCAGGCCAGGGUGUGACAUGGGUUAUUUUAUGUGGUGUGUUUUGUCUAGGGGUUUGUUGUAGGUUAUGGGAUAGUGGUUA